rnacentral:lncRNA from 1 species
GUGAUCCCCCGUCGGAAACCAGCUCCCCCGGAAGUGCAGGCCGGGCGGGCCGCCGCUGUCCCCCUUGCAGGCGUCCUUGCUGCCGUCGGUGUGGCCGGCGCAGAACAUGUUGUCCGUGACCGCAGGCCCGCUGGGCCUCUGGCGUGACUGCUGCAGGCAGUCCUGGGUCAGCAGCCGGGGCACGAGCACCACCAUGAGGGCCACGGGCUGCGCCAGCUGCAGCAGCGCCACGUCGUGGUCCGUCUUGCCCGGCACGUACUGCUCAGGGACGAUGACCCGCGCCACCCGCCGCUCCUGCUCUGGGCCCUCCACGAGGCCGAGGUCGUGCUCACCUGCGGGGCACCAGGACCAUCUGCUGUCAUCCCCCUUGCGGCAUGGGCCCUGGGCUCCUUUCCUGGGAACAGGGGGCGCACGUUCCCCCCCGAGGUGGGCGGGCAUCCUCCCGGGGGCUGCCAGCAGGAGAGUCGGGGCAAAUCCGGACCCAGAGGUGCUGGAGGUGAGUGGGGGUUUGGGUGGGCAGCAUGGUAGGGGAGGAGGGGUGCCCUGGUCCCCCUGCCCCUGGGGCCCCGGUCAUCCCGUAGGCCUGCAGGGCAGAGCACCCAGGGAGAGCACCCCCGUGGGGUCCUGGCCAGAGCAGCGUCACCCGGGGCUGCGUCUGGGCAGGAGAGGCUGUGGGGGGCGGGCGCAGGGGCCCCGGGGUAUGGGGUCUGCCCACACAUUGCCUGCGUGCGGCUCUUUCUGGGAAAGUCGCCGCCGCUCACGGGAGCGGUGGUUGGAAGCCCGGAAGCUCUGUGGGACAAGGGAGGAGCCCACACCACCUACCCAGCACGGCCGUCAGGUUCCACCAGCUCCGGAGCCUGUCAAAGCAGUGGGCAGCAGAGACCACCCAGGUCGGGCCAACCAGGGUGCCCCCGCACAGCAGCGCCCCGUUCAGCUUCAGCAUGGCCUGGCGGACGUGGCACACGGCAGGGAUCACAUCAUGCUCACGGCCGCCUGGGGCUCCCCUCCCUCGCGUGGGGGCUGCCCGGGACACUGCGUCUGUCCAGAACAGGUAUUUUCCCGCACGGAUAUUCCACUGUGUGAGAUAGAAGUCAGCAGGACGUGGGUGAGACGGAGGCUGUGUGGCUGUGCCAGCGAGCGCCCUGUGUUGGCGGCUGUGCCCUCUCCUGGCUGGGGUUUCAGGGGCCCUGGGGGAGCUGCUGGGGCCGGGCGGCAGGGCCCGUGGGCCUGGGUCCUGCUGGUGUAUCCGGGGCUGGAGACAGGCAGCCCGAUGCCACCAGAGGGCCCGGGAUGUGCUGCGGGGGGUGAGCAGCAUCUCAGGCAGCCCAGCCGCUCUCCGACACUGCUCUUGGUUUCUAUCCGCCUCCGGGAAAGCCCCAGGCCAGAAAGGGCAGCAUUUGAGGUGGUCGCUCUCUUGGGGCUGCUAGACGAGGCCGCCUGCACGAUCCUCGGGAGACCAGGGCUGGUGAGGCACCUCCACCCUCCGCCCAGAGCACCCCCUCGCCUUGGCGAGGCUCAGGGAUGCUCCUCCCCCGGGGCCCACCUUUUAGCCACAGAGGACAUACAGCAGGGCAGUGGUGCUCAUCGGGAGUGGAAGCACACACCCCAGGCCUGGGCCCGGGCCCGUUACCUGUGGGCGCGCAGGACACCCCGUCUGCCUGGAGCGCAUAGCCCUCGUGGCACCAGCAGAAGCGCCCGGCCCCUGGGUCGGCCCCACAGUACUGCUCACAGCCGCCGUUCUCGUUGGCACAGAUCAGCUGGCUCUGCUUGUCUGCGGGCACAGGGCACAGCUGACGCGGCCCCUGGUCAGGGCAGGAAGCCCGGUGGCCGCCCCUCCCUGGGCCAGAGGCCAGGCCUGCGUGGAGGAAGAGGACACCCCGCAGACGACCCUGGAGGGUGAGGCCCAGGCCUGGGGGUCCCGGGCCAGGGGACACCCUGCAGACGACCCUGGAGGGUGAGGCCCGGGCCUGGGGGUCCCGGGCCAGGGGACAUUGGCCACAGGGGCGCCAGAACCCCCGCGCCAGGAAGCAGGGGAGCUGGCAGAGACGAGUGGCUUCCCCGGCUUUGCCCCGUGCCCAGAGCCCAGAAGCGGACAGGGUGUCCAGCGGGUCAGCACCCAGAACCCCGCAGCCAGGACGCUCGGGUGGAAGCCUGCGAGGGCGCCGAGGCCCCCCUCCCACCUGGUGAGUCGGCAGCCUCCCGGCCCCGCUCCUCACCCGUCUCGCAGUUCCUGCCCUCGAAGCCGUCGGGGCAGAAGCAGAUGUAGGCCUGGAGCUGGUCCUCACAGGAGCCCCCGUUCUGGCAGGGGCUGGGGGCGCUCUGCGCCUCCUCUCGAUGGGGUCGGCCAGUCACCUACUCACCAUUGUAGGAAACCCAGAACUGCCUCUGAGGGAGCAAGAGGAAGCCGCGUGAGAUGUGGGCGCCUAGGCAAGCGUUUACGUCCCUGUGGGGGAGGCGCCGGGCGGCUGGGGCUUCCGACCAGCCCUCCCAGUGGGCUCUGGAAGCCACACCGCUCCUGUGGAGACAGGUGGGUUCAUCCAGGGAAGCGAGUUUUUUCUCUAAUACCCGCCCCUCCCAUUGCUAAGGCCACAGAGGUCUGAAUCUCCUCUCCCAAGUUCCAACCCUAGGCUUCAGCACCAGCCCUGCCAUGUCGGAGCUGUGAACGUGGGUGAGACCCCACACUCCCCGAGCCUCUGGGCUGCCCCCGAUGCUGUGCUGACAGUCCAGACACCCGCUGACCAAGGAGAAUGUGGGAAAGACACGUGAAAGUGCCCUGCCAGUUCCAGGGGCCUCUUCAGUAACAGGGAUUCCCCAGGGAUCUUUAGGCCAAUGAAAAACAGCUCUGUUGCUGUGAGAACACACCAAGGUGAAAUCUGCUGGAAGGUUCUGAAAACCACAAUCCACUCCGGUUCUCCUGCCUGAGAACCAUGGACAGGCGAGCCCGGUGGCUACAGUGCGUGGGGUCGCAGAGAGGCAGACACGACUGAGCGACUCAAACACACACACAGACGCAAGGGGUGACCGUCCUUAGCGCGGCGGGGAAGGGCCGUGGGAGCCCUGCCUGCGAGUGCAGAGUGUGCGCCGUGCCAGGUGCGUGUUCCAUGCGUGUGAGACGUGUGUCGUGUGUGUGAUGCGUGUCCCAUGCCAGGUGUGGGUCCCAUGCAUGUGAGACGUGUGUCCUGUGCGUGUGAGACAUGGGUCCCAUGCGUGUGAGACGUGUGUCCUGUGUGUGAUGCGUGUCCCAUGUCAGGUGUGUAUCCCAUGCGUGUGAGACAUGUGUCCUGUGCAUGUGAGACAUGGGUCCCAUGUGUGAGACGUGUGUCCUGUGUGUGAGACGUGUCCCAUGUCAGGUGUGUAUCCCAUGCCUAUGAGACAUGUGUCCUGUGUGUGAUGCGUGUCCCGUGCCAGGUGUGGGUCCCAUGCGUGUGAGAUGUAUGUCCUGUGUGUGUGAGACGUGUGUCCUGUGUGUGAUGCAUGUCCCAUGCCAGGUGUGGGCCCCAUGCGUGUGAGACGUGUGUCCUGUGUGUGAUGCGUGUCCCGUGCCAGGUGUGGGUCCCAUGCGUGUGAGAUGUAUGUCCUGUGUGUGUGAGACGUGUGUCCUGUGUGUGAUGCAUGUCCCAUGCCAGGUGUGGGCCCCAUGCGUGUGAGACGUGUGUCCUGUGUGUGAUGCGUGUCCCGUGCCAGGUGUGGGUCCCAUGCGUGUGAGAUGUAUGUCCUGUGUGUGUGAGACGUGUGUCCUGUGUGUGAUGCAUGUCCCAUGCCAGGUGUGGGCCCCAUGCGUGUGAGACGUGUGUCCUGUGUGUGAUGCGUGUCCCGUGCCAGGUGUGGGUCCCAUGCGUGUGAGAUGUAUGUCCUGUGUGUGUGAGACGUGUGUCCUGUGUGUGAUGCGUGUCCCAUGCCAGGUGUGGGUCCCAUGCGUGUGAGACGUGUGUCCCAUGUGGGGUGUCCCUCGAGUGUGUGGGGAGAGGGGGUCCUGUCCCCGCUCCAGCGAGCCCGGCCGCAGCUCCUCCAGGAACCCGUUGGCACGCCGGGGCCGAUGCAGGACGCUGAGGGCCUGCUCCUGGGGCAGGAAGACUGGGGGGCACGCUGUGAGACACGGGGGCGACGGCACCAUCCCCCCACCUGUAACAGCACCUCCCCACCACCCUGCCCCCCCAUGAUGCGAUCACAGGCCCCUGCCCCC